GAGGGUGUAGCUCAAGUGGUAGAGCUCAUGCUUAGCAUGUAUGAGGUCCUGGGUUCAAUUCCCCAGUACCUCUU
rnacentral:tRNA from 1 species